AUAGGUACGUGGGGGAAGGGCUGAGAUAAAGGUCGAGGAAGGAGGGCUCUCACUCUCCCGGCUGCGGUCAAGGUCGGAGACCAGCAGAGCGCUGACCUCAGUUCUCCGCCUGUCAUACUGUGCCUACCUUUGAGAGACUCCACUUUACAGGCAGCUGAUGAGGCUGAUGAGUCCAUUUUGAGGGAGAAGGGUGACUGGAGCCCAAGGAACACUUGUAAACCACACUGUCUACGUGGCCCCACCCAGGUCACAGAACGGCGUGUGGUUAUUUAAGGCCUACAAGUUAGUAAGAAACAGAAGAUGAAAGCUGAAGAGAGAUGGACCAGAGAGAAAGAUUGUUGUGGGACAGUUGGCUUGCCUGCCCAGACAACAAGGUCUGUUUCUAGUAUUCUGCGAUACAGUUUAGGAAAAGUUAAAGCACUUCCAAGUAUGAGAAUUACCCAAAAUGCAACACUCCAGGGGGUGAGCUAGAACUGGCUGAAGGCAGAACAUGGGGUGGGAGAGAGAG